rnacentral:rRNA from 1 species
CCUACGGGUGGCAGCAGUGGGGAAUAUUGGACAAUGGGCGAAAGCCUGAUCCAGCCAUGCCGCGUGUGUGAAGAAGGCCUUCGGGUUGUAAAGCACUUUCAGUGGGGAAGAAAGCCUUGGGGCUAAUACCCUCGAGGAAGGACAUCACCCACAGAAGAAGCACCGGCUAACUCCGUGCCAGCAGCCGCGGUAAUACGGAGGGUGCGAGGGUUAAUCGGAAUUACUGGGCGUAAAGCGCGCGUAGGCGGUCUGAUAAGCCGGUUGUGAAAGCCCCGGGCUCAACCUGGGAACGGCAUCCGGAACUGUCAGGCUAGAGUGCAGGAGAGGAAGGUAGAAUUCCCGGUGUAGCGGUGAAAUGCGUAGAGAUCGGGAGGAAUACCAGUGGCGAAGGCGGCCUUCUGGACUGACACUGACGCUGAGGUGCGAAAGCGUGGGUAGCAAACAGGAUUAGAUACCCGGGUAGUC